GAGCUUGUGGUACAAUGGAUAACAUGUCUGAAUAUGGAUAAAAAGAUUCCAGGUUCGAAUCCUGGCAAGCUCA
rnacentral:tRNA from 1 species